ensembl:lncRNA
AACUGUCUGCCAGAAAUGAAGGACUUCCUAAAAAACUUUCCCUUUAGGGAAUUCAGUGUCUUUAUCACCAUCGUCGGCAGUUUUACUUAUAAUGUUUUACUUGAAAGAGAUGUGGUCUGCACUUGCAUAGAUGUCGAUACAGACUGCUGGAUAUACCUUUUUAUGCCGGUGUUUAUAAUUUUUUUCUUAAUACUUUGGACAGACAAGAUAUUACAGAGAACCUGCAACUACUAUAUAUUUGUAUGUUCAGAAAAGCUAGCUUUUUUCCGAGCUCGGUGUCUACAAAAGCUAGCUUCUUUGCGAGCUAGGUGUCUAAAAAAGCUAGCUUUUUUGCGAGCUUGUUGUCUAAAAAAGCCUGAUAAACCUGAUGUGGAGCAUCAACCACUUGAUGAGCAGCAAGAUCAACAAAAGAAUUCAAACUGCAGGGGAGCAUUAUGUGGUGUUUUCUGGAGUCGCAUUAUCAAGGCACUUUGUAUUGGUGUGCUGUGGGCUAUUUCUGUGCUCAUCGAUGGAGACUGGUAUGUUUGCUGUCAGAAUGAUCAUUCUGAAAAGCAAUCACAGUUAGCCUGCAAAGAUAAAACCAACAUGACACCUGAAGAAAAUGUGGACAUCAAUACCCUGAAAAACAAAUCAAGACUUUUUGGCUUCUCUGUGCUCUUGGCUAUGAUUUUUCUGGCAGCCCUGAUGUCACUAUUUGACCGGAGAUGCUAUUACAGCAAAAGACAAGUCUAUGACAGCGUGAUCCUGGAAGAAGGGGAAGAUGUACUGAAAGACACUUUGAGAAAAGCAGCGAAAGAUGAGUUACUUAAAAUGAUCUCUGAAAAAAUAAAUGGAAAUGACAAUAGGAAUGGAGGUGGAAAUGAGAACAAAGGAGGAAAUGGAAAUGGAGGAGGAAAUGGAAACAGACAUAGGAAUGGAGGAAAUGGAAAUGGAGGAGGAAAUGGAAACAGACAUAGGAAUGGAGUAGGAAACGUAGGUGGAAAUGAGAACGGAGGAGGAAAUGGAAAUGGAGGAGGAAAUGGAAACAGACAUAGGAAUGGAGGAAAUGGAAAUGGAGGAGGAAAUGGAAACAGACAUAGGAAUGGAGUAGGAAACGUAGGUGGAAAUGAGAACGGAGGAGGAAAUGGAAAUGGAGGAGGAAAUGGAAACAGACAUAGGAAUGGAGGUGAGAAUGGGAAUGGGGGACAAGAAGGAAAUCAAGGGGGUGGACAAGAAAAUGGGAAUGGAGUAGGAAACGUAGGUGGAAAUGAGAACGGAGGAGGAAAUAGAAAUGGAGGAGGAAAUGGAAACAGACAUAGGAAUGGAGGUGAGAAUGGGAAUGGGGGACAAGAAGGAAAUCAAGGGGGUGGACAAGAAAAUGGGAAUGGAGUAGGAAACGUAGGUGGAAAUGAGAACGGAGGAGGAAAUGGAAAUGGAGGAGGAAAAGGUAAAGAGGGUGGAAAUGAGCAUAAAUGGAUAGAAUGUUUUGAUGUUGCUGCACAAAUGAUUAAAAACUCAAGCAUACCAAAACUUUCCAAAGAACAACGAAAGGAAGAAAUAGUAGUACGGAUCCACAGUGAGCUCUGAAACAGCAGCAGAAGUGACUGACUGUCAACAUCUUUUACAGCACCGUGCUGAAAUUGCCUUGAACAGCAAUUUAAAGUAAUUUAAAAAUCAUAAAACUCCACAAACUAAUUCCACAUGAUUAUUAUUGUAUUUUAUAUUUAAGUCUUUUUCUUAUAAAUGACUGUCCAACAUUCAACUUAUAGUUACAUUAAAGUUGUUAAAUGUGUAAGAGAUUAUUUAGUGACUUUAUAUUUGUUUUCUUUUGUAUGGGAUGGAUUUGGACAAAUAUAAUAUAUAACAGGUUCUCUUGUUCCUGCAUGGUGCUGCCCUUAAUGUUUGCAGGUAACUGCCAUUUUGUGGCAUUGAUGUAAAAAGCCAGUUUGAGUCUCAGGCUACAUCCACAUGUACACGGGUAUUUUUGAAAACAGAGAUUUUCCGUUUUCUUUUUUUCUUUUUUUUAAUCCUGUCUAAAUGCUGCCAGGAACAUGCCAAAGCAACAGGUGGUGAUAUAUUCCUAACCAUGUAGAAAUGUAAUGUCGGUUGAUGCAUGCACUCUAUAUUCAUAUAUUUCUUUAACACACAUAUAUACAAUUGUAAAAGCAAAACCUUUUACUGUUAUACAAGAAAAUCAUUAGUACAUCAUUAAUGUCAAAGUUUUUUACAGUGAAUAUGGUCGUGUUCUUGUGAGAAGUCAUUGUUCUAGACCUUUUUUCUGAACAAACAUGUUGACUCGUGACCUCCAAUAAAAGAAAUAAAAGCUUGGGAGUCCCUGUAGCAGCUUCAGUAACUAAGUCCAAUAAAUUAUCUACAUUUGUGAUUUUUCUGCUUUGGAAUUUUAGGAUCUGUGCUGUGAAAAAAGCUUUAAUAUUUAAAUCUGAUCACUUUUUAAUACUUGCUGUUGGACUCUUUCACCUUAAUGAGCUAAUCACCAACAUCUGUAUGCUGCCUGCUCCAUUCAUGUCUCUGUAUUUUUUGUGACUAUUUUUUUUUGUUUGUGCCACUAUCUAGUCAUUUACAUGUCUUGCUUGAUUGAUGUCAUUUCUUUGUCAUUUAUUUCUCUUUGAUUUUUUUUCCCCUUAAAUUGCGAUUUUGUGUUUCUGUCUUCUCUUUUCUUUGUUGUUGAUGUGUUUGCCUUUCUGUUUUCUUCAUUUCUGUGUGGUCACUUUGUAGAUAGGGCACUGAAAAUUUAAAAAAAAAUCAAAUAAUAAGUAAGCGGGGAUGGGGAUCAGUGUGAAAUUCAUCUAGUCUUAAGGUCUCUUUUAAUUUAAAAAGAAUAUUAAACAAUUAAUAUGAAACCUUUUUUAUUAUCUCAAGAACUUUAGUUGACCUGCUUAUUUUAAAAUAAGUGUAUUCAGAUGCAUGAAAUCAGAUGAUUGUUUCUCAAAAUAAUAUUUAUCUGUGUUUAAAUAACAAUAAAUAACAGAUUGUCAGAUCAAUUGAAAUGACAGGGCAAAGAAAUUGUUGAGCUCUUCUUUUAGUAUGUGGCUGUUGUCAGUGGUUUGGGGUCCCUGGCCUUUGCAGCUGGUGAAUAAUCAUUUGGAUGUUAUUAAAAAGAGUACCUUAAACUGCAGCAUUCAGGCUUCUAUUUUUCUCUUGUUUUUCUCUUGCUUCACUCUGGCGUCUCCUGCUGGAUUAAGGCUCAAAGUGUAGGUGUAUUUUCCUCACCAACCAGGAAACUUUGCUUCUUUUUAUUUAUUUCAAGGGCGUAGAUUUGGUUUUGGCAUUGGUGGGGACGGAUGAUUCAACCACCAAACUCUGCCCUGUUUCUUUUUUUUUUCCGUUUUGUUUUUGCUUCUUAAUAAAAAGAGGAGAAAUAUACUUGCCUACAUAUGCUAUUCUACGUGCUUUUAAACCAUUUAAAAUCACAAUUCAUAGUUAUAUGUGAAUUAUAUAAUGUUAAAUUACUAUUAAACAAAUGACUAAGUAUUUU